ACGGGUGCGUAACGCGUAUGCAACUUGCCUCACAGAGGGGGAUAACCCGUCGAAAGACGGACUAAUACCGCGUACACUCCACCUUGGGCAUCCAAGGUAGAGGAAAUGAAAUUCGCUGUGAGAUGGGCAUGCGUCCCAUUAGCUAGUUGGUGAGGUAACGGCUCACCAAGGCGACGAUGGGUAGGGGAACUGAGAGGUUGAACCCCCACACUGGUACUGAGACACGGACCAGACUCCUACGGGAGGCAGCAGUGAGGAAUAUUGGUCAAUGGGCGAGAGCCUGAACCAGCCAAGUCGCGUGAAGGAUGACUGUCUUAUGGAUUGUAAACUUCUUUUAUACGGGAAUAACAAGAGCCACGUGUGGCUCCCUGCAUGUACCGUAUGAAUAAGCAUCGGCUAACUCCGUGCCAGCAGCCGCGGUAAUACGGAGGAUGCGAGCGUUAUCCGGAUUUAUUGGGUUUAAAGGGUGCGUAGGCGGCCUGUUAAGUCAGCGGUGAAAUCUAGGAGCUUAACUCCUAAAUUGCCAUUGAUACUGGCGGGCUUGAGUGUAGAUGAGGUAGGCGGAAUGCGUGGUGUAGCGGUGGAAUGCAUAGAUAUCACGCAGAACUCCGAUUGCGAAGGCAGCUUACUAAAGGUACAACUGACGCUGAAGCACGAAAGCGUGGGUAUCAAACAGGAUUAGAUACCCUGGUAGUCCACGCAGUAAAC
rnacentral:rRNA from 1 species